AUUAGAGGGCGUUCACUUACGAAACAUGCCAAAACUUUCGUCUGUCGAAUACAUAUUAGCAGAAGUUUAAUUUCUGUCGAAUUAAAUUCAAUAUUCCUGUGAAUAUUCCAAUUCAUUUAUGAAUGACAUAUGAACUGUAAUUGAGUUUGAUUGUUCCAUCAAAUUUCGUAUAAAAUGGAGCAGAUAAUGUUUCUCAAGAAAUUCAUGAUGCCCUGUGGACUCUGCGCUGCAGUGCCAGUUCUGAAACCUGUCAAUCCUCCAGAGCAGCAACCGAAGCCAUGCCAUACUGAAAAACAUUCAGAGAAUCUGAUCAAACCAUCUGAGCUGCCCAUUUACUCCACAGAGGAAGGGUAUACACAGAUGCCAUGCACAGAACACACUCGUCCAACUAUAGUCGAAGAAAACAUCAGAAAAGUUCGUGUGCAAUUGCAAGAGUUAAGGCAAAUUGGUGAUAAUGUUUCACAGAAAGUUACAACAACUGUUGAUCAAUUUAAAUAUAUAAUUGAUUAUCUUCAAGAUGAAGCAAACAUUCUGCCAAGAGCUGGAGCUGUUGGUAUCGGAGGCUUAUCAGGAUUGAUACUGGGUCUCCGGGGAGGUCUUUUCAAGAAAUUCUUCUAUACAACGACAGGAGCUAGCAUUGUUGGAGUAAUUUGUUUUCCGAAGGAAGCAAAGGAAGCACUCAAUGCUAUAGAGCAUUAUGGACAAAUUAGUUACAAUUUUAUUUAUGGAGUCAAACCAGGGGAUAGCAAAGGGGAAACUUCAUUUAAGGAAUAUCCAUUAGUAAAAAGUGUGCUUGAAUCGGAAUACUUUCAGUUCUUAACAAAACCUUUUGAAAAAGCUUCUGAAAAGAAGGAGAUGUUGAAACACCUGAUAAAAACGUUUUGGAAGUCCGCCCAGCUUCAUUUAACCAUAAUAAUGACAAUGGCUCCAAACACCUAGAACCAAUCAUAUUAAAUGAAUCUCCACAUGUGACAGAAAUCCAAACUUCGAAAAGUCAAAAUACGUGGAUUAAGUGGAAGUAAUCAUUUAGGAAAAUCCAACUGCAAGUAAAUCUUGAUCGAAAAAGGAAUGAAUUUUGAUGUAUAGUAGUGAACGGCAAAUACGUAAAUCACACAUAACUAUAAAUUAUACAUUGUUUUAAUAUAAUAUAUAUAUUAAUAAAUAUUUAAAAAGUCUGUUAUUAAA